rnacentral:lncRNA from 1 species
AGACUUGAUGAGCAUCAAACUCAAGUGAUUAGAUCACUCUCAUUUUUCGUAUGCUAAAGUCUAUUGUGGCAUACUUGAAUCCGUGGGAAUAGGUGGUUCAUCCACACGAAGCACCAGGUCAAGGUCCUUAUAUCCAAGAGUGUAAAGGAUACUAUCUUUCUUGUCAGAAAAAUUAUCAUCACUUAACAUUGAAAUAAAAGCAGC